CAUUUAUUUAAUUCUUCUUUUUUUGCAGUCUGCUUGGAUAUUGUCAUCCACUAUAGUAACAUGCUUUCUUUUUCUAUACACCAUCACUAUAUAUCUAAACGAACACUAUGACAAGAUAUUAAGCAAAUGAAAACAAUAAAUAGAAAGGUAUACAAAAAAUUAAUUGUGUAAAUAAUAUUUUUAGGAUCACAUGCUUGUUGUUCUAAGAAUAAUUUACAAAAAAAAAUGAAAAAAACAAAGAUUAUGUAUAUGACACAUACCUUUUACUUGGUUGCUGAAGUGCUCCAUGUAUCAAUGCAUAACCUUUAGAUCAAAUGGAAUAAUAGGUUGAUAUUUACAAUUAUAUAUUUAUUCUUGUUCAGAACAUAUGAAAGAUAUGAAAUCUCUGUAGAAACUUUAAGAAAGUUUAAUCCUACAAGAAUGAUAAAUAAUAUUGCAAAUUUCAAGAUAUUUUGUCGAUGAAUAAAUCAUCGGAGACUCUUGCUAGAAAGUGCAGGCCGGCGGCUGUCUGUAGAUCUGAUUCAAGAAUUAGUUCUUGAAAUGCGAUUAUAGAGGACAGAGGAAUUGGAGGCGCCUGGCGUCGCUACCCACUGGACUGCCUGCCGC
rnacentral:lncRNA from 1 species